rnacentral:rRNA from 1 species
UUGAAUUGAAGAGUUUGAUCAUGGCUCAGAUUGAACGCUGGCGGCAGGCCUAACACAUGCAAGUCGGACGGUAACAGGAAACAGCUUGCUGUUUUGCUGACGAGUGGCGGACGGGUGAGUAAUGUCUGGGGAUCUGCCCGAUGGAGG